ACAUCAUCCCCCACCAUUUGCCUAUAAAUACCAAGCCUCCCCCCACCCAUUUUCUUCAAGCUAAGAGCCAAAUAUAUGCUGAGAUUUUGAAGUGAAAAUACUCUCCCAAAGUUUAUUCAAGCACCCACCAUAUUUACUUCAUCUUUAAAACCUUCGAUUCUUCAUAUACUUCGUUAUAUACACAAGGUUUUAAACCCCGAGGCUUCGUUCCAACCAACCUAGCCAAAUCUCGCCUAGCUCAUUUUCAUACCACUCUUUUUGUCCUCCCGAAGGGCUCUCCAAAGUUCGUGUGCAAAGCCAAAAUCCGGUCGAACCUCCGACGAAUUUUUCCGGCGAACUUUUUGUAUUAUAAGUGGUUAUUUUAUCUUCGUUUUACUCGUGUCUUAACCGACCAUUUUUGACAAAGGGCUUUUGAACAAAAAUAUUCUCUUCAUCUUUAAAGCUCUCCUUGUUUACAAAACACACGAGUUAGCCACUCGUUAUAUAUUUGUGCGUGUGUUUUGUCCCAGAACCUAACUCGUAUCCUUUGAGAUUUCCUCACCAAACUUUGGAG
rnacentral:lncRNA from 1 species